rnacentral:rRNA from 1 species
UUCCAGACUCCUACGGGAGGCAGCAGUGGGGAAUAUUGCACAAUGGGGGAAACCCUGAUGCAGCAACGCCGCGUGGGUGAAGGAGCGUUUCGGCGCGUAAAGCCCUGUCAGCGGGGAAGAAGAAAGACGGUACCCGACCAAGAAGCCCCGGCUAACUACGUGCCAGCAGCCGCGGUAAUACGUAGGGGGCGAGCGUUAUCCGGAAUUACUGGGUGUAAAGGGAGCGUAGACGGUUCUGCAAGUCUGAAGUGAAAGCCCGUGGCUUAACCGCGGAACGGCUUUGGAAACUGUGGAACUGGAGUGCUGGAGAGGCAAGCGGAAUUCCUAGUGUAGCGGUGAAAUGCGUAGAUAUUAGGAGGAACACCAGUGGCGAAGGCGGCUUGCUGGACAGUAACUGACGUUGAGGCUCGAAAGCGUGGGGAGCAAACAGGAUUAGAUACCCUUGUAA